UUCUCUCUUCUCUUGCUCAGCGUGAAACCCUUAUUCCUUUCAGACUCACAAACACGAAACCCUUUCUCUCUUCUAACUUCUGAGCCGCCGCAGAUACUGAUGCGACCAGGCCACCAUCGCUUCUCCUUGUCAUUCCUCCUCCGUGACGCUGCUGUUUUGUAACUUCAUCACACUUAAAGUUAACCUAUGGCUCAAACCCUCUCGUUGUGGAUGCGGUCACAAUUUUCGGCUUGUGCUUCGUUUCCCACAGUACAAAUUUCUGCUAGGGCACUAAUAGUAAAUGGAAGUGCUCCAUUUAUUCAAUGUCUAGAACUGGAGAAUGUAUGUUUAGGAUAGGAAAUUUUCCUUAAAGGAAAGGAAUAUAUAUUUUUGUAUAUUGUUCUUGUGGACUAGUGCAUUCAUGUAAUUGAUGCAAAUGGCAAGCAGGGGCAUGUGAGCUGCUUUUAAUUUAAAAUGUAUCAAGGAAGAAAUGAAGACAAUUCCUAGCAUCUUGAAUUGUAUGUUGCCGUUUAGUAAACUCUGGUGGUUUUGGAUGAUAUUGAAGGAUUGCAUUUGUAAGUAUAUGGGAAUGAUACUAGGAAGCUUAGGCAAGAUAUUGUCAAGAUUCAUGGAAUGAGAUUCAAUGUAGAUGUUGUUAUUGGUUGUAUAUUUAAAUAGAGUUUAGGUAUAUUUAGAUUUUAAUAGAGUUUAUAUACUAUUGUUUGUAGUGGAAUUAUUUAAUGUAACGAAUACAAAUGAAUCUUAUUAUAAGUCAUUUAAUAAAAUUAUUUUAAUUAAAUUUGAUA